rnacentral:misc_RNA from 1 species
UCUCCGUAGGUGAACCUGCGGAGGGAUCAUUACAGAGUUCGUGCCCUCGCGGGUAGAUCUCCCACCCUGUGUUAUUGCGACCUUUGUUGCUUUGGCGGGCCGCCCUCGGCUAGCGGCCCCGGCCGGUAUGCGCCCGCCACAGGACCCCAAACCCUGCACGUCAGUGACGUCUGAGUACUAUAAAUUAGUUAAAACUUUCAACAACGGAUCUCUUGGUUCUG